GCUUGAUCCCUCGUUCGCCCACUCCUGUUUGCCUGACUUCUGCUCUCCGUGUACCGACCCACUCCUGUCCACUGACCACCCUCUAUGCUGUUGAAGUCAUGAAGCAGAAAAUCCACACGGAGCAGGUGUGCAUGUAAAUCAUCCACUGUAGUGCACCUGGUUUUAUUGCCAGCUAUCUGAACUCAUGUGUACUUGAGGUUGCUGAUCUCCAAUUCAGGCAACAGUCUCGGCAUUGACUGAAUUUUCC